AAGAGCUCCAGCAACGAUUUCUUCGGUUUUUGGCAAUCAAAUGUGGGAGGGACCUAAAGACAACCGUGUGGCGAAUGCUUCAGAGUAUCUUCUCUAAUCACCUUUCCAUCAAUACAACCUGGACUGGUGUAGGGGAUAAAGCAUGUUUUAGAGACAUGUUCCUGAAGACCAUUGUUCAAAGAGCCAUCCGGAAGAACCCGGCAACACAGGAUGCCACUGAUGAGGCGAUCCAGGUUAACGUUACGCGUUACCUGAAAGGAGCAUCUGAACAUGAAGGUGGAAAAGGCGCCGCACAGCUGAGAGGGACCCACAGCCGACCCCUUAAACCUAGGCUGACUACUGACACCCCAGCAUCACUGACAACUGGAACCCUUUCUUUAUCCUGCAGUCAGUAACAUCAAGACCCCUAAAGAAGCCUGCUAAAAGUGUCAGACUACACUCACCCAAUCCACACUGUUCACUGUGGAAAUUGCUCUUUUUUUUUUUUUUUUCUCGUGACCCUGCUUUGAGGGCAGCUCCUUGGAUGAAUAUGGGAUGGUUUGUCCUUUUAUACAGGCGCACGAGGAAUCACUGAAGAUAUGCCAAUUUGCACUGCCUCAUUCUGGGGGUCGGGAAAACCGGUGAUUCUUAGCCCAGAAGUCCCCAACCUCUCCAGACAUUCUGAUUGGCUGUGUUCUCUACAGCCAGAUUUUCUGCUGUUAAUUAUAUUUAUUCCCACUUGUUGUCAUGUGUAAGUUGAAUGUCAAAAUGUAUAUUAUACCUGCACAUUCCUUGAUACCAAAGAUCUCAAUUAUUUCAUAUACAAUUUGCUGCUUAUUUCAUUGUUACAGUGCUUAACUAUUCUAUUUUUAAAUAUAGCUUGUAAAUCCUAGAUUAUACAUCUAAUACUUGAUAUUUGCACAUUAUCUGGUAUCAAAUAUUCUACUUACCGUGACUUUAGUAUUGGCUUAUUUAAUUCCGUCAGUGCUUAACAAUUCUAUUAUAGUUUGUAAAUCCUAUUUCAUACCUCUGAUACUUGAUAUUGCACAUUAACUAGUACCAAAAAUUCUACUUUCAUUCCAUCACAGUGUUUAACUGUUAUUCUAUUGUUACAUAUAGCUUGUAAAUCCUUGUGCCACAAGUCAGCAUUGCAGUUAUAAUGGUAUAUUCUACUCCAGAGCUUUACUCUAAAUUAUUACCACUUAACCUAUUGUUAGAAAUGACUUGUAAAUAUGAUGUUAUACCUCAAUUUAUUUGGUAUCCUGCACUUUCUUUGGUACCAAAUAUCCUCAUUGCUUGUGUUUACUGGUAAUUCUUUUCAUCCCAGA